rnacentral:rRNA from 1 species
GACGAACGCUGGCGGCGUGCUUAACACAUGCAAGUCGAACGAAGUGGCGAACGGGUGAGUAAUACGUGGGUAACCUGCCCUCCUUUUUGGGAUAAGCCUUGGAAACGGGGUCUAAUACCGAAUAAAGGGGGAUGGGCUCGCGGCCUAUCAGCUUGUGGGUGGGGUGAUGGCCUACCAAGGCGGUGACGGGUAGCCGGCCUGAGAGGGUGACCGGCCAGAUUGGGACUGGGACACGCCGUAGACUCUGAUGGGAGGCAGAAGUGGGUCUGAUUGAGCAACGGGCGCAAGCCUGUGCCAGCAAUGGGGCGUGAAGGAAGAGGGUAUUCGGAUUGUAAACCUUUUUGGGAAGGGACGGUACCUGUAUAAUAAGCCACGGCUAACUACGUGCCAGCAGCCGCGGUAAUUC